GGAUGAGCCCGCGGCCUAUCAGCUGGUUGGUGAGGUAACGGCUCACCAAGGCGACGACGGGUAGCCGGCCUGAGAGGGCGACCGGCCACACUGGGACUGAGACACGGCCCAGACUCCUACGGGAGGCAGCAGUGGGGAAUAUUGCACAAUGGGCGCAAGCCUGAUGCAGCGACGCCGCGUGGGGGAUGACGGCCUUCGGGUUGUAAACCUCUUUCAGCAGGGAAGAAGCCGCAAGGUGACGGUACCUGCAGAAGAAGCGCCGGCUAACUACGUGCCAGCAGCCGCGGUAAUACGUAGGGCGCAAGCGUUGUCCGGAAUUAUUGGGCGUAAAGAGCUCGUAGGCGGCUUGUCACGUCGGGUGUGAAAGCCCGGGGCUUAACCCCGGGUCUGCAUUCGAUACGGGCUGGCUGGAGUGUGGUAGGGGAGAUCGGAAUUCCUGGUGUAGCGGUGAAAUGCGCAGAUAUCAGGAGGAACACCGGUGGCGAAGGCGGAUCUCUGGGCCAUUACUGACGCUGAGGAGCGAAAGCGUGGGGAGCGAACAGGAUUAGAUACCCUGGUAGUCCACGCCGUAAACGGUGGGAACUAGGUGUUGGCGACAUUCCACGUCGUCGGUGCCGCAGCUAACGCAUUAAGUUCCCCGC
rnacentral:rRNA from 1 species